rnacentral:rRNA from 1 species
GUGGAUUAGAUACCCUGGUCGUCCACGCCGUAAACGAUGUUCACUAGGUGUUGGGGGUAUUGACCCCCUCAGUGCCGCAGCUAACGCAUUAAGUGAACCGCCUGGGGAGUACGGUCGCAAGACUAAAACUCAAAGGAAUUGACGGGGGCCCGCACAAGCGGUGGAGCAUGUGGUUUAAUUCGAUGCAACGCGAAGAACCUUACCUGGGCUUGAUAUCCCGGGAAUUUCCUGGAAACAGGAGAGUGCCCUUCGGGGAACCCGGUGACAGGUGCUGCACGGCCGUCGCCAGCU